rnacentral:rRNA from 1 species
UACGUAGGUUGCGAGCGUUAUUCGGAUUUACUGGGCGUAAAGAGCACCGAGGUGGCUUCUUAAGUUGGAUGUGAAAUCUCCUGGCUUAACCGGGAGGCGCCAUUCAAUAACUGAGAAGCUUGAGGGUCAGCAGGGGAAGGUGGAAUUCCCGGUGUAGUGGUGGAAUGCGUAGAGAUCGGGAGGAACACCAGUGGCGAAAGCGACCUUCUGGGCUGCACCUGACACUCUAGUGCGAAAGCGUGGGGAGCAAACAGG